rnacentral:rRNA from 1 species
UCUACGGGAGGCAGCAGUGGGGAAUAUUGCGCAAUGGGCGAAAGCCUGACGCAGCGACGCCGCGUGAGGGAUGAAGGUCUUCGGAUCGUAAACCUCUGUCAGCAGGGAAGAACGGUCACUGUGCUAAUCAGCAGUGAAUUGACGGUACCUGCAAAGGAAGCACCGGCUAACUCCGUGCCAGCAGCCGCGGUAAUACGGAGGGUGCGAGCGUUAAUCGGAAUUACUGGGCGUAAAGCGCUCGUAGGCGGUAUGUCAAGUCAAGGGUGAAAUCCCCGCGCUCAACGUGGGAACUGCCUUUGAAACUGGCAAACUGGAGUGUGUGUGAGGAUAGUAGAAUUCCAGGUGUAGGAGUGAAAUCCGUAGAUAUCUGGAGGAACAUCAGUGGCGAAGGCGACUAUCUGGCACAUAACUGACGCUGAGGAGCGAAAGCGUGGGUAGCAAACAGGAUUAGAUACCCCUGUAGUC